CUAUGGGAUUGAGCUGGUAUGGGGGCAGACGUAAAACAAUUAUCCCAUGCUGCGCUGCCAUCUCGUCCACAACAUAAUUAUCGCAAUGUUCUUGUUUGUGGUACCGUACAAUGUCUAUAAGAGUAGCUUUAACCAUUGCUGCUUCGAAUAAAAUAUUUUUGCUUGUUAGCCACUCUUGUAUUCUAGGUUUAGUCCAAGGCAUUUUAGGCAGCGAUUCUAGUUGGGAGUGGUAGGGAGCACUACUACGGAAUUUGGUUUUAGUUUUGGCAAGACCCACCAAACCACUUCUCAAAGGAAUCGGCAUUCAUCUCUUGAUGAUAAUCUUCUUUGAUUUUUUUGGCUUCAAAUAUUAAUAAGCUGUGUUCUAUGAGUAUUUUUUAUAUGGCCUAUAUGGCUGAUAAUUAAUCGUUUGCCUUUUCCUGAAGGCUGUUUUAAGCCAGUGGUCAAGCCAUUUAGGAAUGCCUGGCGGGACGAUAACACUGUCUGGUCAAUCCAUGCCUUCUUCGGUGCAUGACCUUCAAGAUAGCGAAAAAUAUCAAUAUAAGUUAGUAGGCAACGGUCGGCCUUAUCUCUUACAAGCUAUUUCUUCCAGGCAUCCCUGAUAUGGAACAAAAUAAAAGAAACACCUAGGGUAGACCGAGUCCAAUCAGAUCACUUUUUCUUUGUGGUUCAGCAAAUCAUACUAAAGUGUUAUAUAAUGUUAUUUUUAUUGAUAAAAUCGUAAGAAGUAACAAUUAGCUAUGAAAUAAACAUUUGAAAACUUAAAUCAUACAUAUUAUACUCUCUUAAUUAGCUUUUAAAAACUAAAAAAAGGAAAAUAUCCGAAUCGCCCCAAUUUUCGGGGUGAAUCGGAUCGUACACGACAUGUAACAAAAUUUUAAGUUUCUUAAGACUAUAACUUUGGAAUGAGUAGAAAAUUAAUAAUGAGAUCAAUUUUAAUUAUUGGCACAUAAUUCACAUAUUCACAUAGUUUUUUUUCCACCCCCUUAUAAGCACAUUUUUCGUGGCACCAUUCUUCGCAAGCAUUGCACUGAAUCCAAUCCUCAGAUUGUUGAUGAACGAGUAUUAUUCGUUCUUUUAUUCCUUCCGGCUUCCGAAUAAUUAUUUUUUUAUUUAUUUGUAUUGUAUGUUUUGACGUUCUGUAAAUUCAAACGCGUACUUACGUUACGCUUUGGGUGUAAUUCCGAAGCCACAACUUGCCACGUGCAAUAGCCGGUCAGCUAACCUCUUUUCUGCAUUCUCAUCUAAUGCUGGCUGUCCACAUCGACUCUUAAUAAUACCCCUGGAUAAAGUAACUCUUAUCUGUAAGCUCGUGAACGGUGAUCGGCAUCUUUGGAAUUCCAGAGUCAUUUUGAUAAGCCUCCAAAAAUUUCAGAAUCGUAGGUGCUGACCAAUCAGACAUUUUUUACGCUUUGCGCGCCAACGAAAAAGUGUAGCAAGUAAAUACGUCCGCCUCCCGCAAGCUCGCGCGCAUACUGAUCGCUGCCAAACGUGUGGAUACGUAGCAAACUGUUUGCCAAACAUCCUUUGAUCUGGCAAGAUAAACCGACACCGAUGCCGAACACUGCCCAACACAAACACCAACAGGCAAACAACGACAAACACCCAUCCACACGUCCGUGUUUGCUGUUGGCUGUUUGCCAUUGUUUGACAAGCGUGUGGAUGGGGAUUAAUAAAUUGUUUGCAAGAAUGAAAUUCACCAUAUAAAAAUUUUGUUUUGGUAUAAAAUAAUGCAUUUUAUUAAUCAAAGGUCUCAACUUCCACAUUUUAUCUGUCUCUUCUAUAUUGUUAUUGUUUACACAAUGAAGGUACCGCCGCAUAAUCUCUUCGAAUCUUUUACGCCGCAUGGCAUUGUGUAUUAGAUAUUUUUUAGUAUCUUGUGAGCAGACCAAUAUAUUCCUUUGUUACCAACGAGACUGUAUCCACUUAUUAUCAAAAUUUCUAUAAAACAUCUCAUUUCAUCAGAUGUUAUUUUAGUAUCCGGGCAGUAUUUCCAUAACGCGUAUUAGAUUACGAAACCAACAUUUUUACUAUAUCAUCCUCAAUUAUUAGCUCAAAUAUUAAAAUUGCAGACAAAUUUUUUAUUGCAGUGAGAUCUUGUUCUGGAAAUGACCUAUAUGACCUUAUGAUAUCAGGGUGGUAUUAUAUAUACAGAAUACCUUGAGCAAAAAAAGUCCAUUACCAAUAGUAGAAUAAAAUCCAAAUUGGCAUAUACUCGUAUAUAUAUACAAAAAACUCACAUGGAGAUUGGAUGCGAAUAUGAGUACUGUCAAUAGCAAUAUUGAAUACAUAUUUAUCAUAUAAUCUGGCGAUUGCGACAGAUAUGUCCCGCACUAUUCUGCCUGCAGAGGAAUUGGAAACGCCUACGAAAUCAGCCACAGAAAUCAGCAUUGUGCCGAAUGCAUAACAUCGCAGCGUCAAUAAUAGCUGAUGUAGGCAUUAUUUCUGGUAAUAAUUUGCAAGGAAUAUAUUAUAAGUUCUGCAUUACGAUACCUUAAUUGGCAAACCAGUUAACUCCAUACAAGCAAAAUUUUCAGGAGACACUUAAAAUGUUAUAAAAAAAUUUGUAGACUACUUAUGGAAACAUUUUAAGUACCAUUGGUAGAUAUUAUCGUAAACUGUUAUUCUCAAUACUAUACAGGGUGUUUGGUGCAUCGUUUGCCAAAUCAAAAUGGUGGAUUGGGGGGGUCUUUAUCUAUUAUCCCAGGCCUCACAAAGAGUUCUUGGGCCAACGGAAUAAUUAAUGUCGAUUUUUUUUAUGUUUUCUUUAAAUUAUCCAAAAUUUGACUUUCAAAGGUAAAUAAAAAAUAAAUUAUACAGUAAUUACACAUAAUGUUAUUUUUUUCUUAAUCUACAAUAGUGUACCAAUCCCAAAAAUAAAAAAUUACUUGCCAGCAGUAUGUAGUUUUUUUUUAUUAACUCGCAAAGUGUUAUAAUCCUUUAUACCGUUUCAUUACAAUACUACAGCGUUUUUAGGAGUUAUCCGUUUUUCCUUUUCUGUAAAAGUAUGUGGUGUAGGAGUUAGCUGAUUUGCACGAUAGAUUAAUUAAAAAAAGUUUUUUUUUUAAGUUAUAAUUAAAAUAAAGUAUACUUAAAAAUAAUCAUAUAUUGAUAAAGACAACAUUAAAUGGUACACAAUUUUAGGCUUCAUGAGGAAGCUUGUAAUAGUUUUGGUAAUCUCUUGGCAUUGAGUUUUUAAUUGCUGUAAAUCUAAAUACUUUUUUUUGUAAUUUUCCUGCGUUCAUUGUACAGGUCAGGUAAAUUAUGAAAAGGAAUGUUGUUAAUUCGGGUAUUCCUACGUUGAUUGAGCAAUUUGUACUCUUCAGUUAAUUUAAGCUUAUAAAAUAUUUCUCUAGAUGGUGUAAAUUUAAGAGCUCGUAUGUCGGUAACCUGGAAAAGAGUCUAAGUAACAUUGAAAAGGAAUAUGAAGAUUUUGUAAAGAAGAAAUCUUGGUUACUAAUUUAUUACAAAAUUUGUAGAGAAGGUCAGCCACAGAACCUAACUACUAUAGAAGCUAAAAAGCCUCAAAACAAACACUUAAAUAGGUACAGAGAUGUUAGCCUAUAUAACAUACACGUGUUAAAUUGAACCAAAUCGAAAGGGAUUACAUCAAUGCCAACUAUGUAAAUAUACCACGUGCAAACAGAAAGUAUAUUCUUACCCAAGGACCAUUAGCUGCCACUAUGGGACAUUUUUGGCUCAUGGUAUGGGAGCAAUGUUGUACGGGCAUAAUAAUGUUAAACAGAUUGAUUGAAAAUAAGGAGACAAAGUGUCACCAGUACUGGCCUGGUGAAGUUGGAUCAGAGUCUAUUUAUGAAGAUGUUCAGUUGGCAGUCACACUUAUUAGUGAACAAAAUAAAAAUUAAACUACAUACUCAGAAAAUUCAAGUAAGUGCUUCUCAUCAUUAUAUAUACAUUUUUCACAAGAAAAUGAGGAACUAAAUUUUUAAAGUUUUGAUAAUCCUUUAUUUUUGGAAGAAAACUAUAAUAAAAUUUGUGUUGUUAUAAUAUAAUAUAUGUAUAAUUUAUUUUGUUUAUGAUCCUGCUACGCGUUACUAUCUAAUAACUUAGUAUAUAAACAAAUUUUUUAAGAGAUACCUAACUAAGAAAUUUCACUUAACUGACAUUUUACUUUUUGUGUAUGUUUGUCCAUAAUACCAUUUCAGCUAUAGCUGCUAUAAAAGUAUAGAUAUUUUCAGUUUCUGGCCACAUAUGAGAUUUUU